rnacentral:rRNA from 1 species
AGCUCCAAUAGCGUAUAUUAAAGUUGUUGCAGUUAAAAAGCUCGUAGUUGGAUUUCGGGGUGGCCUGGCUGGUCCACCGCAAGGUGAGCACUGGUCAGCCGCCCUUCCUCUCGAAAGCCCCGACUGCUCUUCACUGCAGUGGUCGGGUAGUUCGGGACGUUUACUUUGAAAAAAUUAGAGUGUUCAAGGCAGGCUCUCGCCUGAAUACAUUAGCAUGGAAUAAUGGAAGAGGACCUCGGUCCUAUUUUGUUGGUUUCUAGGGCCGAAGUAAUGAUUAAGAGGGACAGUUGGGGGCAUUCGUAUUUAAUUGUCAGAGGUGAAAUUCUUGGAUUUAUGAAAGACGAACUAGUGCGAAAGCAUUUGCCAAGGAUGUUUUCAUUAAUCAAGAACGAAAGUACGC